rnacentral:lncRNA from 1 species
AAAGAACAAUUAUUGAAUCGAGAAUGUGACAAUGAAUCUCAUCCAUAUAAAUCAUAUAUGAUUGGAUAAAUAUAAUCACAUGUGAUUAUAUGUAUGUAAUUAGAUAUGAUUUAUGUAGACAAUAUUUAUUUUUGUGGUUUCGAUUGAAUAAUUGCUUUUGUAUAUUUAAUCACAUAUGAUUAUAUGUAUAUCAUCACAUAUUACUUGAGGUGGACAAGAUUAAAUUUUGCCUUCUCGAUUCAAUAGUUGAGCUCAUGUACUCAAUCACAUACGAUUAUACAUAUAAUCACAUGUGAUACAAUACAUGAGAACAACUAUUGAAUUGACUAAGCAAAAAUGAAUUAUGUCCACAGAAAUCAUAUGUGAUUAGAUUCAUAUAAUCACAUGAGAUUAUGUGUAUUUAAUCACAUAUGAUUAAUUUUGAAAAAUAUUUGUUUUUGUGUUCUUGGUUCAAUAUUUCUUAUUAUGUAUAUAAUUACAUGUGAUUGUAUAUAUCUAAUCUCAUAUGAUUAAAUAAAUUUAAUCACGUAUGAUUAAAGUGGAAAAAAACAAUUAUUGAAUCGAGAAUGCGAAAAUGAAUCUUAGCCACGAAAAUCAUAUGUGAUAAGAUACACACAAUCACAUGUUAUUAUAUGUAUCCAAUCUCAUACGAUUUAUGUGGGCGAUAUUUAUUUUCGUGUUCUAGAUUCAAUAGUUGUUCUCGUGUAUUUAAUCACAUGUGAUUAUACAUAUCUAAUCAUAUAUGAUUUAUGUGAAUAAGAUUAAAAUUUCCGUUCUCAAUUCAAUAGUUAUCAUGUAUUUCAUCAUAUGUUAUUUUAUAUAUUUAAUCACAUAUGAUUUAUAUGGACAAGAUUCAUUAUUUCUUUCUCAAUUCAAUAGUUGUAUUCAUGUACUUAAUCACAUGUGAUUAUUUGCAUUUAAUCACACAUGAUAUAUAUAUGGACAAUUUUAUCUUUGUGUUCUCGAUUCAAUAGUUGUUGUCGUGUAUAUAAUCAUAUGUGAUUAUAUGUAUCUAAUCACAUAUGAUUUAUAUAGACAUCAUUAUUUUUUGUCUAUAUAAAUCAUAUGUGAUUGGAUACAUAUAACCACAUAUGAUUACAGUGUACAAAGAAGAAUUACUGAAUCAAGAAUGUGACAAUGAAUCUCAUCCACAUAAAUCAUAUAUGAUUGGAUAUAUAUAAUCACAUGUGAUUAUAUGUAUUUAAUCAGAUAUGAUUUAUGUAGACAAUAUUUAUUUUUGCAGUUUCGAUUGAAUAAUUGCUUUUGUAUAUUUAAUCACAUAUGAUUAUAUGUAUAUUAUCGCAUAUGACUUGAGGUGGACAAGAUUAAUUUUUUCCUUCUCGAUUCAAUAGUUGUGCUCAUGUACUCAAUCAUAUACGAUUAUACAUAUAAUCACAUGUGAUAAAAUACAUGAGAACAAUUAUUGAAUCGACAAAGCAAAAAUGAAUUAUGUCCACAUAAAUCAUAUGUGAUUAGAUUCAUAUAAUCACAUGUGAUUAUGUGUAUUUAAUCACAUAUGAUUAAUUUGGGAAAAUAUUUUUUUUGUGUUCUUGGUUCAAUAUUUGUUAUUGUGUAUAUAAUUACAUGUGAUUGUAUAUAUCUAAUCACAUAUGAUUAAAUGAAUUUAAUCACGUAUGAUUAAAGUCGAAAAAAACAAUUAUUGAAUCGAGAACGCGAAAAUGAAUCUUAGCCACAUAAAUCAUAUGUGAUAAGAUACACACAAUCGCAUGUUAUUAUAUGUAUCAAAUCUCAUACGAUUUAUGUGGGCGAUAUUUAUUUUCGUGUUCUCGAUUCAAUAGUUGUUCUCGUGUAUUUAAUCACAUGUGAUUAUACAUAUCUAAUCACAUAUGAUUUAUGUGAAUAAGAUUAAAAUUUGCGUUCUCAAUUUAAUAGUUGUUAUCAUGUAUUUAAUCAUAUGUUAUUUUAUGUAUUUAAUCACAUACAAUUAAUAUGAACAAAGAACAACUAUUGAAUCAAAAACAAAAAAAUGAAUCUUGUGCAUAUACGUCAUAUAUGAUUAGAUCAUAUAAUCACAUGUGAUUUAAUACACGAGAACAAUUAAAGAAUCGAGAAUGCAUAAACGAAUAUUGACUGCUUUUCUUACUAGAAAACAACCUACAUUCUACCUUUCCUUGUUCACUCUACCGGAUUAGGGUAUCCGUGAACACUAACAUAAAAUAAGUAAUGCCUACAUAAUAGGAGAGUUAGUGUAACUCACCUACUUGAACUUGGAAAUUAGCUAGCAUAAGCAAGAUAGAUCCUUUCCUUUCCGAAAACCUACACAAAAAUUAUAACAUUAUUUAGCUUGUGCUUUGCUGUAUUAAUCUUAUAAAACUUAUGUACAUAUUUCCUUAUUUUAUCUUUGAUUGUAGUGCUUUGUUUGGGAUAUGUUUUCUUACCUUUCAACCGAUUAUUCAAAUUUUAUAAAAUUAUAUUGGUAAAGUUCCCCUUUUAUCUUUUCAGAAAUAUAAAGAUAUAGUUCUAAUGAUUUCUGGUUUAUUUUAUACUAAAUUUACAAGUUAAUGUGAUUAAAAUGCAUACACUUUAUGUGAUUAGAUCGCAUGCGAUUAAAUACAUAUAAUCACAUGUGAUUAAAUCAUAUGUGAUAUAAAAGGACAUUUUAAAGAAUAUGUUUUGUAUAAUUAAUUAAGGUGUAUAUAAUCACAUGUGACUAGAUUUAUUUAAUAACAUAUAAUUAAAUUUGACUAGAAACAUAUAAUCACAUGUGAUUAACUGUAUUUUAUCACAUGUGAUUAUAUGUAUGAUGCGUAUAGUCACAUAUGAUUUAUAUAGACAAUAUUCGUUUUUGCGUUUUCUAUUUGAUAACUUUUUUCAUUUAUUUAAUCACAUGUGGUUAUAUGCAUUUAAUCACAUAUGAUUAAUGUGGAUAAAGAACAACUACUAUAUCGAGAACACAAAAAUGAAUCUUGUGCACAUAAAUCAUAUGUGAUUAUAUACAUAUAAUCAGAUGUGAUUAAAUAAACUAGAACAAAUACUUAACCAAGAACACGUAAACGAAUCUUGUCAAUAUAAAUCAUAUGUGAUUAGAUACAUAUAAUCACAUGUGAUUAAAUACGCAAGAACGACUAUUAAAUCGAGAACACGAAAAUGAGUUUUAUAUAAAUAAAUCAUAUGUGAUUCAAUACAUAUUACCACAUGUGAUUAUAUGUAUUUAAUCACAUAUGAUUUACGUAGAAAAUAUUUAUUUUAAUAUUUUCGAUUCCUAUAGUUGGUCUCAUGAAUUUAAUCACAUGUGAUUAUAUGUAUUUAAUCACAUAUGAUUAUUGAUGUUGUAUAUUUAAUCAAUAAUAUUUCAUGUAUUUUAUCACAUUUAAGUAAAUUAUUCACAUGUAAUUGAACCAUGUCAUGCACAUGUGAAUAAUCUGUUUUCGUGUCUCGAUUCCCUAACGAUCUAUUGUAAAAUGCUAUUUUUAUUGGUUUUUUUUAAUAUAUUAAAAUUUAUAAUUUUAAUUAUCUAUAAAUGGUUAUUAAUAUUGAUAUGAUAUUAUUUUAAAAAUUACGAGUUAUUUUUGGUUUUUAUAGUUUUUUUAUUUUAUAUAUUAAUCACGAUUAAAUAUAAAUAGUCAAAAAUCAUAUUGUUUUUCUUUUUAAUAUAUCGAAAGAAAAAUAAAUGGUAUACACGUUAGUUAAGAGUAGGUAUCCUAUGGUAAAUAUUAAUAUAAAAAUAUUCAUUAAUUCAAUAAUUGAUAAUAAAACGAUAUUUUUUUUAUAUGAGUUGAACUCAUAAUCAUAAUUAAAAUAAAAGAAAUUAUAUUUCGUGUUAUCGGCCGAUUGUUAAAUUUGUGAGUUGGUAAGUUGUUUAAUAAAUUUCACAAAGCCAAAAGUAAAAAGUUCAGAAUUAAAAAAAAAAGGAUUGUAGUGGGGCCUUACGUUAUCACUUUGUCGAGCCUUUUCCUUAUUUGGGAGAACUGGUAGAAACUCCCAACGUACAAGGCGUUAAGCAUAAGAGUACGUUCAUGGAUCACUAGGUCUUCCCUCUAAACACCUGCAUUCCCUAAUUUUAUACAUAAUUUGGUGUUGGCGUCGAUGCACAAGGAGAAUUGCUCCCCCUUCCUCAAUUUCAAUCACGAAGACAAAUCCAUUUCCUUCCCUAACUGUUUAUCAAACGAAAUUAGAUGUGGUUGCUCUAGAUCUGGUGGUAUUUUGCCCUAGAUUUAAUAGUUGAGGGCGGAAAAUUUCAUGAUUGCUGAAGUACAUAUGCUUCAGAUCUUAUGAAAACGGAUCCACUUUAGCUUCUCCAACAAACCAAAUCGUGGCUCAGAGCAGCGGUUCGUGUUGGUGCUUCAUGACGGUCGUUCAGGAGAGAGGAAUGACAAAAAGAGAAGGUUUAAGAAGUUGAGACGAGAAGCUGAGUAAUAUUUUUAGGAGGUUGCCACAAUAUUUCGUCGGAGAAGAAGGUGGAGGUGGUAGUUUCUGAUUAUAAGAGGAGUAGAGGCGGAGGGAGGUGGCGAACGAAUAAAUCUAGAGCUGCUGGUGUCUGACGGCGAUUUGGUGGUUCCCAGCCGCUGCCUAGUGGUUUCCGACGACGGUAUGAUGAUUUGGCGAUUUGUUCAGGUGGCCGGUGCAACAUUUCUCCGGAGAAGAAGGAUGAGGAGUUGGCUUCCGAUUGUGGGAGGAUUAGAGGUUGGGGAGAUCGUGAAGGAGCAAAUAUGGAGCCGAUGGUUUGGUGUUUCAGGCGGUGGUCUGGUGGCUCCCGACGGUUUCCGGUUGUGGUCCGGUACUGUCAGUUUAGGUCCGUAUGAGAGAAGAGAAUGGGGGAAUUUAGGUGGGUAAUUUGUAUUUGAGUAAAAACACGCGUGUUUUUGAACUUAUAGGCCAAAAAAUGCUCUCACAUUAAAAA